rnacentral:rRNA from 1 species
CUACGGAAGGUCCGGGCGUUAUCCGGAUUUAUUGGGUUUAAAGGGAGCGCAGGCGGAGAUGCAAGCGUGACGUCAAAUUUCGGGGCUCAACCCCGUCUCGCGUCGCGAACUGCGUCCCUUGGUUGCGGGAAGGGGAGGCGGAACUCGUGGUGUAGCGGUGAAAUGCAUAGAUAUCACGAAGAACUCCGAUCGCGAAGGCAGCCUUCCGGCCCGUCAACGACGCUCAUGCUCGAAGGUGCGGGUAUCAAACAGGAUUAGAUACCCUGGUAGUCCGCACAGUAAACGAUGGACACCCGCGGUUUGGCCUGUAUGGCUGAGCCGCCAAGCGAAAGCGUUAAGUGUCCCACCUGGGGAGUACGCCGGCAACGGUGAAAAUCAAAGGAAUUGACGGG